rnacentral:ncRNA from 1 species
GACCCAGUGGGCCUUAAGCCAGAGGGAAUGAGGAAAAAGCUCCAGUGCUUCUGCACAUACUUGUGUCAAAUCCUUCCUACCUGAGGUGUCCUGAGGCAAGCCCAGGGAGGACAGAAACUUGGGCAGCAUAAAGGGCAAAAGUACACUUAAUCUUGAUUUUCAGUGGGAAUACAGGCCAUGCUAGUGUGGCCUCAGGAUCUUUUGACGUUCUAGGUUUUAAGCAAGAGAUGUCAGAAAAGUUACCACAGAGAAAACCACCCUGAGUCAGUCAACUAUUAGCAAAGUUACUUCAACCCUUUGAUGUCAUCUUUUCCUGUGACCACAAAACAGAAUGCACCAAGUGUUGGUCAGUUUACCCAUUAACAAUGAACACUAGCUGAGUUUAGACUGCUGUGAGUCAAGUUAGUU